UACGUAGGGGGCAAGCGUUGUCCGGAUUUACUGGGCGUAAAGGGCGCGUAGGCGGCCAUGCGUGUCUUCCGUGAAAUCCCUCGGCUUAACUGAGGACGUGCGGAAGAAACUGCAAGGCUCGAGUCCGGGAGAGGGGGGUGGAAUUCCCAGUGUAGCGGUGAAAUGCGUAGAUAUUGGGAGGAACACCGGUGGCGAAGGCGGCCCCCUGGACCGGUACUGACGCUGAGGCGCGAAAGCGUGGGUAGCAAACGGG
rnacentral:rRNA from 1 species